rnacentral:rRNA from 1 species
AUAUUGGACAAUGGGGUCAACCCUGAUCCAGCCAUGCCACGUGAGUGACGAAGGGCUUAGGGUUGUAAAGCACUUUCAGUGGGGAAGAUAAUGACCGUACCCACACAAGAAGACCCGGCUAAACUCGUGCCUGCAGCCGAGGUAAUACGGAGGGGCGAGCGUUGUUCGGAUUUACUGGGCGUACAGCGCACGUAGGCGGAUUGGACAGUUAAGGGUGAAAUCCCGGGGCUCAACUCCGGAACUGCCUUUAAUACUGCCAGUCUAGAGUCCGAGAGAGGUGAGUGGAACUCCUAGUGUAGAGGUGGAAUUCGUAGAUAUUAGGAAGAACACCAGUGGCGAAGGCGGCUCACUGGCUCGGUACUGACGCUGAGGUGCGAAAGCGUGGGGGGCAAAC